CACUGCUAUCGGGGUUCGAUUAAGCCAUGCGAGUCGAGAGGGUUCAGACCCUCGGCGCACCGCUCAGUAACACGUGGAUAACCUACCCUGAGGAGGGGGAUAACCCCGGGAAACUGGGGAUAAUACCUCAUAGGUUUCAGAUGCUGGAAUGCUCUGAAACCGAAAUGCUCCGGCGCCUCAGGAUGGAUCUGCGGCCGAUUAGGUUGUUGUUGGGGUAACGGCCCAACAAGCCCGUCAUCGGUACGGGUUGUGAGAGCAAGAGCCCGGAGAUGGAUUCUGAGACACCAAUCCAGGCCCUACGGGGCGCAGCAGGCGCGAAACCUUUACAAUGCGAGCAAUCGUGAUAAGGGAACCCCGAGUGCCUGAAACCAGGCUGUUCAGGUGUUUAAAAAGCACCUGGAGAAAGGGCCGGGCAAGACCGGUGCCAGCCGCCGCGGUAAUACCGGCGGCUCGAGUGGUGGCCGCUAUUAUUGGGCUUAAAGCGUUCGUAGCUGGGUUGUUAAGUCUCUUGGGAAAUCUCACGGCUCAACCGUGAGGCGACUAAGAGAUACUGGCAAUCUUGGGACCGGGAGAGGUGAGAGGUAC
rnacentral:rRNA from 1 species